GGAGCGGGGCCACGCCCCAACAGAAACCCUGCUCUGAAAGGGCGUUAAGACUGCAGGAUGGGCAAUGAAGCUGGAGCCAUCUGAGGCAGAAAAGCAGGCGGCGGCGGGACUGAGUGGACUGAGAUAGAUGUGCCUAGGAUUGAGUCGUCUGUGCAGGGGUGGGGGGGUUCCGAUCGAUGUCAAGAAAUGACCAACACCGCACAGCCUCGCAAAGAGGGCUCCUCAGAUUUCCUUUCGCAAUAUGAACACAUCUGCGCGCUCCAGGGCUUGGUACCUCUCCCUGCGGUGAGGACCAGCCUGAAGAUGGGUAUGCUGAGCUUUAAUGCGGAUCGCCUCCGCCUACUGGACUGGGUGCCUUUGCUGAGCGCCUUGAGGAUCAACAAAACCCUGCCCUCCGUCUCAAUCAGGAGCACCUUUCAGCCAUCCUUGCAAGACACUAUGAUUGAGAAGCAUAAAUCCUACGCGAGAAGGCGCAUCCCUGCCGUAACCACUAAAGAAGUCACUAUCCAGUUGUGUAAAGCUAUCAAAGGCUGCUUAACCACAUCUACUGCUCUGACCAACCUCGAGUUUCAGGGAAUCCUUUUAAGAGGGCGAGAUAUAAUGUUCUUAGCCAAGGGAUUGAAUAAAUCGGCAUCCCUGGUACACCUCUCUCUGGCGUUUUGUCCAAUUGGAGAUGUAGGUUUAGAAAUUCUCUGUCAAAAUUUAAGGAGCGUAACAACCCUGAAGACUGUAAACUUCACUGCGUGCAAUCUUACUUGGAGGGGAGCAAAACAUAUAUCCACUGUUUUAAAAUACCAGGCAGUAAAAAGACAUGAGGAAGUUUGGGCUGCCAAUCUUCGCAGCAGGAAUGCUGAUCUGGAAGGCAUGGGUGGCUUGAAGCGAGUCACUUUCAAUUCCAACCCACUUGUAGGCGAUCAAGGUGCCCAUGCUUUUGCCGACUCGAUUUGUGACAAUUUAUGGCUGAGAGCCCUUGACCUGCAGUUGUGUGGAAUUAGCAGUGGGGGUGCCAAAGCUUUGCUAGAUAGUCUGGAAUCCAAUGCAACCCUAGUGAUUCUGGAUAUACGAAAAAACCCACUUGUUGAUCAUUCUUUGAUGAGGGCAAUUAUUGAUAAACUUAACCAUAACGCAAAGAGUACUAAAUCAGAGUUUAAAUGGUUGAGUUCUUCCUCUUUAAAGGACUUUUUCAAAAGCAAACAGAAAAGAAGAACUAUAAUUCUGGGAAGUGGUCGAAAAGGAAAAGCUACUAUUCGAAUUGGCAUACCGUCCAAGAAACCCAUAUUGACUGGAAGAAGAUAUGUCCCCGCAAAGGAUUUUUAUGUCCCAGAUCCACCACCAGGUGUACCUUGGCGUACAGCAGAACGGGCAAAGAGGUAUAGGGGUUUCCCACAGAUCAAAACCAGAGAUAUAUCUUGUUGAAUGAGAUGCCAAAUUUUGUCAACUUUUCAAGUGAAAGAAAACUUGAAGAGAAAGAUAUCCAUUUGAAAGAGGGAAAUGAGAUAGCAUGGUUCAAAAUAAACUCACACCUUGCCUUAAACACAUAUUUUGUAAAAACAAGAGAAGAACUAUGGUGCCCUUAUGAGAAUCAUUGAAACUACAUUAAAUGGAAUAUUCAAAUCUGUAUUGCUGAAGUGGAAAUUCAUCCCAAUUAUAAUUGCCUCUAAUAAUUUAGAUAGUAUUUGCUAGUUCACAAGGAAGUUCCCCAAACGUAUGACUAAAUUCUUAUCCUUUUUUGAUUUAGUUUUUUUUUUAAAGAAGAAAAAUAGUUUUAUUUUUUUUUUCUCCUAAGGCCUACCAGGAAAAUCUUAUUAAAACAUGUAAAUCCCCAGUGAUUAUCAGGUGAUCAAAUAAGAAUUUGCCAUUUUUUGAAAUGCUAAGCAUUGGAUUCUGAAUGUAACACCCCCCAAAGAGGGUUCAACCUGGUCCAUUUAAUAAUGCAUACUUCAUUUACAGAUCUGAGUACUAUCCUUCUUCCAGCUAUGAUAUUUCCCUCAGUCAUAGUGUUGAUGCAUGUGGAUCUCUAAGUACAUUUUAAAGUAGAACAACAACGGGAUGAUACACUCCACAAAAUUCAUGAAGAGGAAAUAGACAUAUUUCGGCACGGGAGAAUAUUUAUGCAUUAUUUAACAGCAAUAAUGUUUGAAUUCAUACAUUAUGCAAAUGCAGUUAUAAUCAGGAAAAUUAAAGAACUUGGACUGCU